GCCCGCUUGGCAAAGUGGUUAUCGCGCUGCACUUGUAAUGCAGAGGUCACUCGUUCAAAUCGGGUAGUGGGCA